UUGAUUUUGAUACAUUUAUAAAAGCUUUAAUGCUAUUUUUCAGAGCUUACUAUGUGUUCAGUGUGGAAGUUAAGACUAUUUGACUCAAGUACACCUCAAUUCUCCUAUGCUGUAGCAUAUGCAACUCUGAAAAAUCUUAAUAACUUAUCAGCAAUUAAUAUGGAAUUCGCAAAGGAUUUGGCUAGAAACGACGCAAUUGAGCUACUGACUAAUUUUCUAAACGCAUUAGCAAUAAAAAAGGUUCCAUUUUUCCUGAUUAAAUACAGUGUUUAUAUUCUGUGUAAUAUCGCAAUGUGGAAAGUUCAACCAAAACAGUUUAAAAGAUCAAAAACUGGAAAAGUUUGUUCAAUAUUUUUCUAAAGCCGAUCAAUCAAUGUCUGCCUCUUACCUACUUUCUCAAUACAUUUCAUGUGGACAUUUGUCAUUAAGAAAAUCUUUUAAACAAUCACAUUUAAAAAAACUUAAUUCGAAAUGAGUACUUGUUUCUGUCCAAACCAACAUA